UACAGAGGUCUCAAGCGUUGUUCGGAAUUACUGGGCGUAAAGGGCGCGUAGGCGGCCUGUUAAGUCGAACGUGAAAUCCCCGGGCUCAACCCGGGAACUGCGUCCGAAACUGGCAGGCUCGAAUCCGGGAGAGGGAUGCGGAAUUCCAGGUGUAGCGGUGAAAUGCGUAGAUAUCUGGAGGAACACCGGUGGCGAAGGCGGCGUUCUGGACUGCAACUGACACUGAGGAACGAAAGCCAGGGGAGCAAACGGG
rnacentral:rRNA from 1 species